rnacentral:tRNA from 1 species
GGGGACGUAGCUCAGCUGGGAGAGCGUCGCGUUCGCAAUGCGAAGGUCAGGAGUUCGAUCCUCCUCGUCUCCACCA